UAAAACCAGACAAUGUCUCUGAGUUCCUGUGUGCCAAGCCGGUGGCCUGCAGGUGACGGGGCAGUGCCCACUGUGCCCCAGUAUUAUCAGGGGCAUUUUUCUGUCUGCAGAAUGUUUAUUCUUGGCAUUGUCAGGGCGUGUUGGUUUCGUGGCCCACCUGCCACGUCUUGUCUGUGGCCGACUUCAUUUCAGGAUUUCAAGCAGCACACCCAGGAUUCUGCCUAAGGGCUUGGCUGUCGCUUCCCCAGACGCAAUCAGAUAUUUUGGGCCCAGUAGUACCGGAUGCGUAGGCCUCAGUCCCCAAAAGGAACGUGUGAUGCAUGGAGCAUGCUUUCCAAAGAAACUCCUUGAAUUCCAGAAGAAGGAAGAAACCUUAUGUCUAGCAGUCUGAGCUUGUGGGUUUGUUACGUGGGCUUCAUAAAGGGACACUUGAAUUAGCUACGCGUGGUGGUGUGCACCUGUAGUCCCA
rnacentral:lncRNA from 1 species